UGCCAGCAGCCGCGGUAAUACGGAGGAGGCAAGCGUUGUUCGGAAUCACUGGGCAUAAAGCGCACGUAGGCGGAUCAGUAAGUCGGUUGUGAAAUCCCAGGGCUUAACCCUGGAACUGCUUCCGAAACUACUAAUCUUGAGGAUGAGAGGGGAGAGUGGAACUUCUGGUGGAGCGGUGAAAUGCGUAGAUAUCAGAAGGAACACCGGUGGCGAAAGCGACUCUCUGGCUCAUAUCUGACGCUGAGGUGCGAAAGCUAGGGUAGCAAACGGGAUUAGAUA
rnacentral:rRNA from 1 species